UCAGGUUCAUGGAUGUGAAACCUGCUGGAUAUCAGGGAUGCUGCAUCACUCUGAUACAACGAAGUGUAAACAUAAAAUACGUCAUGUUACAUUAAACGAAAUACAUAUGAAGUUUCCAAACUCGAUUACAAAAAUUGGAGGGGAAUAUGCAAAGAGGGGAGAUAAAUUCAUGGUUACUAAUGAGAUAGCUGUCACACCAGUAUUGCUUAUUUCUGGAAUUGGUGCAAUCAAAAAGCUCAAAGCUCCCUUCGGCAGCUUAGUUGAGAAUUAAAGCUGAACUUGGAGAAGAAGAGGUUUUGAAUAUAUUGAAAGCUUGUCUGAUCUUUUCCAAUCCAUUGUGCCAGUUAUUCUCUCCUAAGGAGAGGACACUCUAAACUACUAAUUAUAUAACUAAUGAAUGUAACAAUUUAUAUAUUUUUUACUUCGACUUAGAGUUCUCUGCCAAUCA